UACGUAGGGGGCAAGCGUUGUCCGGAAUCAUUGGGCGUAAAGCGCGUGUAGGCGGCUUGGUAAGUCCGCUCUGAAAGCCCGGGGCUCAACCCCGGGAGGCGGGUGGAUACUGUCAAGCUCGAGUCCGGAAGAGGCGAGUGGAAUUCCUGGUGUAGCGGUGAAAUGCGCAGAUAUCAGGAGGAACACCAAUGGCGAAGGCAGCUCGCUGGGACGUGACUGACGCUGAGACGCGAAAGCUAGGGUAGCAAACGGG
rnacentral:rRNA from 1 species